GGGUUUCUACUUUCUGGGGGUACAGAAAAUAGAAACAUGACUCAGAGUUCCUGCCUCAUGGAGUCUGGGAGCUUUCCUCCUCAUUGGAUCUGGGAGCUUCCAGGAACACAUCAAGGAAGAAGGAGGUGAGGACAGAGUUGGUUGAGGGAGAAGCAAGAUAGCUGUUGUAGAGCAGAGUUUACCGGGUUCCCCGUUCUCAGUUCCAAAGCUAGGGUCUUUGUUAUAUAGUAGAGGGUUUCCAUUGCACCCCACUAACAGUGCAAAUCUUGGGGACAGAGGACCAACUAGUGCUCAGGCCUCCCACUGGCACACUCUCGGCCUUCCUAGAGCUCACUACUAUACAACACAGGUGUCAUGUCUCAACACCCACCCAGCUUACCUGCAGAUCCCAGAAGAGUCAAGAGGUUCCGAGGGCACCCUUAAUGAGACAAGGCAUCUGAUGACACCCUUCCAUUACACCAGGCACCAGUACAGAAAGCAAGCUGUUCUGCGGCACCAGAACAUAUGAAAAGGAAGCGCAGUUUUCCACACACAGUCGCUUCCCGUCUCAGACCCCAUGACUGCAGAGUUUCAGAAAGUAAACACUGUAGAUCCAAGCAGAGUGCCAGAUGGUGGGCUGAAGUAGAACCAGCUCACAGAGACUGGAACACACAGGGCUGGGAGCUCCUUGCUCUCUUCGUCUGCUUCCACCUAUUCAGAUGUCUCCAGGGUUCAGGAAUAGAAGCUUUCACUGAAGAGACAUCAGGCAUCUAAGGAUCGCUUGACACAGUGGAAUACCAGGCACACAGUGGGAAGCUUCUCCCAGUGGGUUGCUAACAGAUGAAGAGCAGAAACAGGAGUGGAUCCUUCCUCUUAAAGUUCCUGCCACCUUAGACUGGAGACCAAGCCUGCAGGACGUGAAGCUUGGGAAGUCAGAUCACGCUCCAAGAAUGGAGUCAUAUGAGGAUGAUUCUGAGUGCUUGGGAGAAAACUCCAAGAAACCAGGACGAGAGAUUUGUGAUUUCAGUUUCUUCAAAGUCACAAAAUUUUUCUUGGAUUAUGCUUUUGUGCCCCUCCCAGAUGUAGCUGUUCACUUCAGAUUAUUCAUCAUAACUGGCUAUUAUUUGUUCAUACACCUCUAUGGAAAAUCCAUGUGUGGCUUUGGCCUGGUGACUGUACACUUUAAUCACUUGGCUCUGAGUAACCCUCAAAGUAUAAAUUGUCUGAUGCUCUGAGCAAA
rnacentral:lncRNA from 1 species